rnacentral:piRNA from 1 species
UCAGAGUGCUCAUCAGUGGUUGGUCA